rnacentral:rRNA from 1 species
UUAGUGGCGGACUGGUGAGUAACACGUAAGCAAUCUACCUAUUAGAGGGGAAUAACAAUGAGAAAUCAUUGCUAAUACCGCAUAAGCUUGUAGUACUGCAUGGUACAGCAAGAAAAGGAGCAAUCCGCUAAUAGAUGAGCUUGCGGCUGAUUAGCUAGUUGGUAAGGUAACGGCUUACCAAGGCAACGAUCAGUAGCCGAGCUGAGAGGCUCUUCGGCCACAUUGGGACUGAGAUACGGCCCAGACUCCUACGGGAGGCAGCAGUCGGGAAUAUUGCGCAAUGGAGGAAACUCUGACGCAGUGACGCCGCGUAUAGGAAGAAGGUUUUAGGAUUGUAAACUAUUUUAGUCAGGGAAGAAAAAAGACGGUACCUGGAGAAAAAGCAACGGCUAACUACGUGCCAGCAGCCGCGGUAAUACGUAGGUUGCAAGCGUUGUCCGGAUUUACUGGGUGUAAAGGGCGUGUAGGCGGAGAUGCAAGUUGGGAGUGAAAUCCCGGGGCUCAACCCCGGGACUGCUUUGGAAACUGUGCAGCUAGAGUGCCGGAGAGGUAAGCGGAAUUCCUAGUGUAGCGGUGAAAUGCGUAGAUAUUAGGAGGAACACCAGUGGCGAAGGCGGCUUACUGGACGGUAACUGACGUUGAGGCUCGAAAGCGUGGGGAGCAAACAGGAUUAGAUACCCUGGUAGUCCACGCUGUAAACGAUAGAUACUAGGUGUGGGGGGUCUGACCCCCUCCGUACCGCAGUUAACACAAUAAGUAUUCCCACCCUGGGGAGUACGAUCGCAAGGUUGAAACUCAAAGGAAUUGACGGGGGCCCGCACAAGCGGUGGAGUAUUGUGGUUUAAUUCGAAGCAACGCGAAGAACCUUACCAGGGCUUGACAUGGGGAUGACCGGGCUAGAGAUAGCCUUUCUCUUCGGAGCAUCCCACACAGGUGGUGCAUGGUUGUCGUCAGCUCGUGUCGUGAGAUGUUGGGUUAAGUCCCGCAACGAGCGCAACCCCUAUCUUCAGUAGCCAUCAUUCAGUUGGGCACUCUGGAGAGACUGCCGUGGAUAACACGGAGGAAGGUGGGGAUGACGUCAAAUCAUCAUGCCCCUUAUGUCUUGGGCUACACACGUGCUACAAUGGCUGGUAACAAAGUGAAGCAGAACGGCGACGUCGAGCAAAUCACAAAAACCCAGUCCCAGUUCGGAUUGUAGUCUGCAACUCGACUACAUGAAGCUGGAAUCGCUAGUAAUCGCGAAUCAGCAUGUCGCGGUGAAUACGUUCCCGGGCCUUGUACACACCGCCCGUCA